CCUACGGGUGGCAGCAGUGAGGAAUAUUGGUCAAUGGCCGGAAGCCUGAACCAGCCAAGUAGCGUGCGGGAUGAAGGCUCUAUGGUUUGUAAACUGCUUUUGUAGGGGGAUAAAAGUCUCCACGUGUGGAUGUUUGCAUGUACCGUAUGAAUAAGCAUCGGCUAACUCCGUGCCAGCAGCCGCGGUAAUACGGAGGAUGCGAGCGUUAUCCGGAUUUAUUGGGUUUAAAGGGUGCGUAGGUUGUUUUUUAAGUCAGCGGUUAAAGUGUGUGGCUCAACCAUAAAAUCGCCGUUGAAACUGGACGACUUGAGUGUGUUGCAGGCAGGCGGAAUUCGUGGUGUAGCGGUGAAAUGCAUAGAUAUCACGAAGAACCCCGAUUGCGAAGGCAGCCUACCAAGGCAUAACUGACACUGAAGCACGAAAGUGCGGGGAUCAAACAGGAUUAGAUACCCGAGUAGUC
rnacentral:rRNA from 1 species